rnacentral:tRNA from 4 species
GCCCGGGUGGCGAAACUGGUAUACGCAAGCGACUUAAAAUCGCUCGGCCGCAAGGCCAUGCGGGUUCGAUCCCCGCCCCGGGCACCA